rnacentral:rRNA from 1 species
UACGUAGGGGGCAAGCGUUGUCCGGAUUUAUUGGGCGUAAAGAGCGUGUAGGCGGCCUGACAGGUCUGCUGUGAAAGUCAAAGGCUCAACCUUUGAAAGCCGGUGGAUACUGCAGGACUAGAGUACGGAAGAGGCGAGUGGAAUUCCUGGUGUAGCGGUGGAAUGCGCAGAUAUCAGGAGGAACACCAAUAGCGAAGGCAGCUCGCUGGGACGUUACUGACACUGAGGCGCGAAAGCGUGGGGAGCGAACAGG